UACACUUUGUACUUUAAUAUGCAAACUGCCUGCCUGCUCCAGAGAAGCAGCCUUUGUUCCUCAGUUCAUCGCAACACUCAGCCUGUCAGUCAGGUUGUGGGAUCCCUCCUAUCCAGGAACUGUAUGCUGUUGUCCCGGUUCUGACACUUUCCCUCUGAGUCCUUGGACACCUUACCUAACCUCUUGGAAGCUCCUGUCUGUGAAGGGUGUGCACAGAGAGCUUCGGUAGCCUGCGAAGCAGCCAUUUUCACUUCCACGGAGCAGAUGCUGGCCUGGGUGCUGGAAUAUGGAAAUGAGGAAGAUCCUGCCUGAGGAUUUCAUGACAGUGCUGCGAUUACCGACGUGAGCCACUGUGCCCAGCCUCACUUUAAAAAAAAAAAAAGGUUAUGAAGCAUCUCAACACAAGACCUCCUUUGCUCAUCACAACCACCCAGUGAAGCAGGCAAGACAACAGAAACUCCCCACCUGUGAUAGAUGUGAGGCCUGAAGUCUCCCACAUACCCACGGCAGAUGCAACGCACAGCGGUGACCAAUGGACAUGGUCCAAGCAGACCCUUUCCUGAGACUUUCUAAAUGGAGCUGUGUGAGAAGAGUUCCUUUCUGUUUUGCCUCUGGAGCUGAAGGUUGAGAACUCAGAGCUGCCCGUGUUCUACCCUGUGAAAAUAAAGGCAAUCAAUUCACAGAGACAAGCAGAAACAAGGCGUCCAGAGCAAGUCCUUCACAUCACCCUGGACACCCUGGCCCUGAUUUCCACUCCCUGCCAGGCUUGUUUGUCCAAUUCUUCUUUUUGUUCCAAGCACCAUCCCAGCAGGCUUAGUUACCUGUAAGCAUUUGGUUAAUCUCUCUUCUCAGCUAGACCGUAGGCUCCCCGAGUGCAGAAACUAUGUUUAUUUUGGUCUCUGCUGGAUCUCCAGCACCUAAAUAAAUGUUUAUGGUUGACUGCAAGGCAGAUCUGUGUGGGGAAUGAAGAAGAGUAUUAAGACCUCCCAGAUGGGCUGCUGGAGGCCUGUCCAAGGUGGAACUUUGCAUGGUGAGAAAUGCAAUUCAGUAGGAAAACAAAGAACUCCUUCAUCCUCCUCUAGAUUCUGCAGGCAAGUGAUCAGCUCAAGGUGAAGGAUCUAAAACCUGAAAAGAGGCCAAAUGAUUCCUCAAAACCACGCAAGUACGAAGUAGCAGAGCGGAUCUCAAAUCCAGGUUGGUUUCCUUUUUACAACUGCCCAAGUCAUGAGUUCAUAGGGCCUGGAUGGCUGUACCGGAUUGCUCUCCAGCUGGUCUCUCUGCAUCCAGAAAUUUCUACAACCUACUGGGGUAAAAUCUUUCUCAACCCUGCUUUUCAUCAUCACAUCUUAAAUAUCUCGAGUUGGUUCCCUAUUGCCAAAAAAAAUCCAUUGUCCAUGUAGGGUUCUUCUGCCGAAACGAGGAAAGAGUGAGUUAAAUGUUGGUAGGUGAUAUAGAGAUAGUAAUUAGGCAAUAUAAUUCGAUGUUGUUGAAAGAGCUGAGCUAUGAAAUGCAUUGUGAUAAAGGGGCUGCCUGUGUAAGUAAAUGGGUAUAAUGAGGUGUAAAACUCCCUUUCUCUCUCUCUUUCUGCUUCAUAAGCCUUUCUGCUUCUCAAGUCCAGACCUGCUGUUUUUGGGGUUUCCUUCCAAUUUUUUUGCUGCUUCCCUGGGGCCUUGGCUCUUGGGCCUGCUGCCUCUUCCCACUCUACACCUUUGGAUUCCUUAUCUUUGGCUCCACCUUAUUGCUCCAUUCUCCAAAGACAAAUCCACAAGGCAUAGGAUUUUACAGAAUAUGGGGUUACAGAAACAGCAUAGGGAAGUGUAAAAGCCUAGAAGCUUCUUACAGACGCAGCCCCUUGUCUGUAGCUCCUGACUCCCACUUAAAUGUCUGUUGGAAGCACCCUGGGGUAGCAGAACCCAGCUCAGAAGAUGGGGCUUAUCCACCAUGCCUUUUCCUAACCUGACACCCACCCAGAUAAUCUUUUCAAUAUGCAAACUAGAGCGUAUCACCCCCUGCUCAGAGCCUUUCUGUGACCUCCCAUUUUGCUUCCCAGGACUCCUUGCUCCUUAGCCAGGUCUCCAGGUCCUCCGUGAUCAGGUCUCUGCUCUUCUGCAGCCUCAUCUCUGCCAUUCUUCACCUUUUGUGCUCCAACCCAAUCUGGUUUUCUUCUCAUGCUUUGAACACCCCAAGUCUGUCUGCUUCAGGAGCUUCGUACUGGCUAAUCAUUCACCACAGCAUACUCCCAUCUAUACGGCUGGCUCUUAUAUUAUGGGUCUCAGCUAAAAUGUCAUCCCUUCAAAGAGACCUUCUUGGACCACCCCCGCCAUUCUCUAUCCUAUUUCUCUCUUUUAUUUUCUUUGAAGCACUUACCCACUUUCAGAAACUAUCUGGCUUGCUCAUGUGUUUGUCUCUAGAUUGUCUACUUCCCCUCCUAGACUGUACUCUCCACAAGAGAGCAAAGCUGUGUCUGUUGCAUUCACUGUUGUCUUCCCAGAAGCAAGCAGCAUGCUGGAGACCCUCAAAUACAUGUGAAAUGAAGGGACACCUUGUGUUAUUUCACCUGUUUCCACCUGGUUCCCAAGUGGCAAGCUUGCAUUGAGGUUACAAAGUGGCAAAGCUGGGAUAUCACAUGAUGUCACCAUGAUGCUAUAUGAAAUGUAACAUUAAUUGAGUACCUAUGUGACCAGUUCUUUAAUUCUGUAAGUGAACUCUCAAAAAACCCUAGGUAAGUAUUAUCAACUCGAACUUUAACGGAUGAGGAAACUGGAAUUUUUUAAAAAAUGACUUAACCAAACAUCACAGAGCUGUAAACCAGGAUUUGAAUGGGUGAGCUGCACUCAGCCUUCAUCUCAAGUCAGUUUGCCUCUUUCUCCAAGAAGCCACAGUUGAUCCUGACCACAUCACAUAUGAGUUGCCUGGAUUGCAGUCAUUCAUUCACUAAGCAUCUUUUAGGAGGUCACAUGCCAGGCACCGUGUUAGGUAAUGAUUUCUCCAAGUCACAGGAGCCGUGGUUCUGACUUUAGAAAGUUUCUCAUCUGAUGGGAGGGCAGGCAAGUAAAUCAGUAAGGGUGGUCCCUGUCGGGACACUGGUUGAGAAAUACCCAGGAACACUCUGAUUGAGAAAUACCCAAAGUGCAAAGUGACAGGGACUAGAGGCAUCUCCACUGGACCAGAGAGCUCUGGAUUCGUCUUGAGCUAAGUCUCUGGAGGUAGGUGUCAGCUACAAGGAGAAAAGCUGUAUAUUUUGAGAUAUGGGAUGCAGGGCCUUUUAGUUCCAUAAAUAAGAGAACUAUGGUGUGAAUACCACAUGCCCUGGGCUGAACUAAGUGGGCUCUAGGGGAAGGUAUACUGGGCAGGGAGUUUGGAGAACUGGUUUCUGUCUAAUCCUUCUCUAACUCUGUGACCUUGAAUGCAUCAUUUCCCCUCUGAGUCUCAGAUUCUCUUUCUGGCUGGCAUUUAAUGAAACCUAAAUAUUCUAGACCUUCUACUUGUUCCAUAAGUGCUCAGUCCUACACUCACUCUCCUCUGGCACCAAUAUACUGAUUACUCAUUUUAUGCCCAGCAGAGCACUGCGUGUUUUGAAAUAUACAAAUAGUGGGAAACGAAAUCUUUGUUCUGGAUGCAGUUAUAAUUUGGAAAGCGAGGAAAUAAAUUAUAACAAGGGGAAAAAACAGACACAGAGGGAUUGAAAUGCAUAACAAUAGAGAUGAAACACGAAGAGUGAUAAAUGAAGAUUGAGUGUGCACACCUUCUGGAGGAGCCCUGAUUGAGUAUUUUAAAAUACUACUAAAGUCAUGCCGUGUGACUUCUGAAGCUAGCUCCUAAGAAGUCCUUGCAGCUUCUGCCUGCGACUCUUAGAACACUUGCUUUGAAGGAUGCCAGAUGCUGUCUUAAAAGUCUGAGCACUCUGAAACCAUCAUGCUGUGAGGAAGCCCAAGCUAACCACAUGGGCAAAAAAGAUGCCCUCUGACUGCCACCAUUUGAGACACUCUAAUUAAGAACUGCCUCAUUGAGCCCAUGAGGCCCUGUGAAUGAUAAUAAUAAAUUGUUUUUAACCACUAUGUUUUUGGAUUUGUUAUAAGUUUAUAGAUAACAAGAAAAAGUUAUAUUAGCAUGGUAAUAAAAUUAUGGAUAUGUGUAAGUUUGGUGUUUUGUUUCUUUUUUUUUUUUACACUAAGCCUAUAUUACUGUUGUAAUUUAGGAAAUCACUUGUUUUCCUCCAGCACUUCAAUGUAAGAGUGGCACUACUUAGAAUGUACUUCUUAAGAUAUGGCU
rnacentral:lncRNA from 10 species